rnacentral:rRNA from 1 species
GAUGAACGCUAGCGGCAGGCUUAAUACAUGCAAGUCGUGGGGCAGCGCAGGUAGCAAUACUGGGCGGCGACCGGCAAACGGGUGCGGAACACGUACACAACCUUCCUACAAGUGGGGAAUAGCCCAGAAAAAUUUGGAUUAAUACCCCGUAACAUAACGAUGUGGCAUCACAUUGUUAUUAUAGCUUCGGCGCUUGUUGAUGGGUGUGCGGCUGAUUAGAUAGUUGGCGGGGUAACGGCCCACCAAGUCUACGAUCAGUAGCUGAUGUGAGAGCAUGAUCAGCCACACGGGCACUGAGACACGGGCCCGACUCCUACGGGAGGCAGCAGUAAGGAAUAUUGGUCAAUGGACGCAAGUCUGAACCAGCCAUGCCGCGUGAAGGAUUAAGGUCCUCUGGAUUGUAAACUUCUUUUAUUUGGGACGAAAAAAGGGCAUUCUUGCUCACUUGACGGUACCAGAUGAAUAAGCACCGGCUAACUCCGUGCCAGCCGCCGCAGUAA